GUCUCUCACCUCCUCCCCAGGUGAUGUGUGAUAGAUAAUCAGGGUGUCUCUCACCUCCUCCCCAGGUGAUGUGUGAUAGAUAAUCAGGGUGUCUCUCACCUCCUCCCCAGGUGAUGUGUGAUAGAUAAUCAGGGUGUCUCUCACCUCCUCCCCAGGUGAUGUGUGAUAGAUAAUCAGGGUGUCUCUCACCUCCUCCCCAGGUGAUGUGUGAUAGAUAAUCAGGGUGUCUCUCACCUCCUCCCCAGGUGAUGUGUGAUAGAUAAUCAGGGUGUCUCUCACCUCCUCCCCAGGUGAUGUGUGAUAGAUAAUCAGGGUGUCUCUCACCUCCUCCCCAGGUGAUGUGUGAUAGAUAAUCAGGGUGUC